ensembl:snoRNA Gm22590 small nucleolar RNA SNORA17
CAUGCCCCUUGAGGCAUUGUAGGUAUGGCUGCUAUGUCACAUGUGUGUCAAUAGGUGGCCACAGAGAAGAGUUUAUGUCUGUGCUCAGUGUUCUUACCUAUGAACAUCUGAAUUUGUAGCCUAAAAUU